GCCCUUAAGUUGAUUUGAGAUUAGUGGAACGCUCUGGAAAGUGCGGCCAUAGUGGGUGAUAGCCCCGUACACGAAAAUCUCUUAUCAAUGAAAUCGAGUAGGACGGAGCACGAGAAACUUUGUCUGAAUAUGGGGGGACCAUCCUCCAAGGCUAAAUACUACUGACCGACCGAUAGUGAACCAGUACCGUGAGGGAAAGGCGAAAAGAACCCCUGUGAGGGGAGUGAAAUAGAACCUGAAACCGUGUGCGUACAAGCAGUAGGAGCUCCGCAAGGAGUGACUGCGUACCUUUUGUAUAAUGGGUCAGCGACUUAUAUUCAGUGGCGAGCUUAACCGAAUAGGGGAGGCGUAGCGAAAGCGAGUCUUAAUAGGGCGUUUAGUCGCUGGGUAUAGACCCGAAACCGGGCGAUCUAUCCAUGGGCAGGUUGAAGGUUAGGUAACAC
rnacentral:rRNA from 1 species